rnacentral:lncRNA from 1 species
CCAGAGCUGCAUUGCUUUUCCGAAUCUGCUCAAGCUGUACAACACUUCUGAGCCUCAGUACCACCAGCCAUCUGUGGUCCUCCAUUUGUCCUCUUCUCCUACAAAUACCUCCAGCCCCUCUCUUCCUCCAUGAUGCUUCUAGCAUUGGAAAUCUUCCAGGACAAUUCUGCCUUCAAGUUUCCUAGCCUGAGCCACUGAGUUGAUGGAGGAAAACGUGAUAGAGAUGACUCGUCCUCCUUUAAUUUUCCCACUUCUAUAAGCAUAUAAACGUGCCCUGCAACUCUCCUAAGUGUCCCCAGGAGACCCGCUUUCCCAGUCUCUGAGACAAACAUUUCUUAGCCUUCUCUCCUGCAAGAGAUAACAUUUCUCAAAGUUUCUUUGAGCAUGUAGAUGCUGACAGGGGAUGGUCUAUCCCUUCCACCACCAAACCUCCACACCAGUUGGCACUCCACCCUUGUUAUAAUGGAGGAAGCUGCAGGCUAGUUCCAGCACAGUGAACCCCAGUAGUGUUUCGCUUCUCAGCCUUUGCCAUCUCCUCAUCCCUGAGCCAUCUCCACCCCUCCUUCUCUAAAGUAUGGUUACCAUCAGCAUCCAGACAUACUC